rnacentral:misc_RNA from 1 species
GCAAAUGUGACCCAGGCAUUAGCUAAACAUCAUAAAUCAUCAUUCAAAAUACUGUAGGAGGCGGGUCAACUGAGAAAUCAAUCUAUAGUUUGAGAUCCUGUUAUAUUCUAACUUGAGGAUUGUUGAUUGAAAGCAAGGAUGGUCACGACCAGGACAUACAGAAGAGUGACCGUUGAAUAUAUCCAGUUUCUGAUGCUGUAUGCGACUAUGUUAUCAACUUGUUCCUGCGUUCACUUAGCAAGUGAAAAUAUUCUAUGCACAAACAGUCACGUAGAGAUUGACGUCACACGUUUGUUCUCCGAGAUAAACCGAACUCAACCGCUAAUAUGUAUAAUGGGUCAUUCGGGCACAUCUAAUGGUACUUGUGUGAGUCGCCAAGGGGAUCUUAAUGUGCCCAUAGGUGAUUGUGGCAUUCAGUUGAAUAAAACUUUCCAUGUACAAAUUAUGGAAGACGAGGAUAUUGAAUCGGUUGAUGCCGGAACAGAGAUUUACAAAGUGACAUGUCUCAACUGGUAUUUAAAUGUUGAGAAACCAGGCGGACACGAGUACAAACUGGAAGCGAAAAUUGAACACGUCACAGGGAUGUUUGUUGAUCAGGACUACAUGAUAAAUGUUCAGAAAAAAGAACCAACACCAUAUAUGCAGAUCAUGGAUGGUGAUAAUAAUAUAGUGAACGAGCAAGAAGUCGAAAUCAACACCAAUCUUAGUCUAGUUAUUGGUAUUGAGGAAGACACAAUGUAUGCGUCGUUGGAGAUCGUUGUAAGGCAUUGCUAUGUCAUCGGCAAUGGGAAGAUUGUGAUUAUUACGGAUAACGGGUGUGCUACUAAACCAAAUAUUUUCAAAAAUUUUGUCACUGGCACCGGGGAUGAUUCUGGAAAGAAGAUGAGCUAUUUCAGGGCGUUUAGGGUGCGCAGUGAUAAUCCUGUCGCAAACGAUUCUCCUACGGUUACCUUCUUAUGCACCUUUCAAAUAUGCAGAAAAACGGACAAUAGUAGCACAUGUAUUCAGCCAGCUUGCAAUAACGGUCGACGUAAGCGUGAGAAUAAAUCGCCAGAAGAAGCCUUGACAAAAGAGGGGCACAGAGAAAUUAUGCAAUACAUCAAGGUCAUUGAUCCAUUGCCAACCACUAACGAUGAAUCCAAUGUGAAUACUUGCACCUGUAUGAGCUCAUCAAACUUUGUGAUAGCCUUGGUUGUGCUUUGUUCUUUACUAGGACUAUCAAUAAUUAUCGCAAUAAUUCUAGCGUCAAAGCUAAUUGAAACUGGCCGUCGGAAACCUAACCCGAAGGUGAUUUUUAAUACACAAAGUAGUCGUGGUCCUGCUAGCGAGAGUCUUGAUAGAAGCAGUCCUGGAAGCCGAAGUCCUGAACCAGCUUGCUCCAAAGCUUUUUCAAUACCACGUCCAGUUUUGUAGUGAUGAAAAACAUUCAACUUUUGGUAUUGGCGUUUUUACUUUAAUCAAAUUACCCUCUUCUGGAACAUGUGGAAGGUCUUCUAUAUGUAUAUCAUGAAGUCAGAUAUGUACAGCACAGUGACUAAUGGAAGCUUAAUACAAUUGGACUAUAGUUGCUUCUUUGAUUGUUAUUUUUUGUCUAUAUAUAUAUUUUGAAUAAAAAAUAAAUCUAUGUGUUACGCAUUA